CCCCCCCCCCCCCCCCCCCCCCCCCCCCCCCCCCCCCCCCCCCCCCCCCCCCCCCCCCCCCCCCCCCCCCCCCCCCCCCCCCCCCAGGACUGCCUGAAAUCAGGGAAUCCUGUGCUGCACUCCCACCCAGCCACCCCCAGCUGCCAGGUUUUCCAAAACUGGGACUGGAGGAGUUUGUGCCUCUCAGCUGGCACAGCCUGCUGGUUUUAUCCUGUGCUUUUCCUGACAUAUCAAGCAAACUGCCCAGUCCUUCCUGAGAUGAUUUCAUGCACCCCUGUGGGAUCGGGGUCCUGAGUCAUGGGCUGGCUCUGCCCUCACUGAGAGCCUGCAUCUCCCUGGGUGCCCUGGGGCCCUGGAAAGGCACUGCUGAGCUUUUCCUUCCAGGAUAAGCUGCUCCUUGGCUCCAAGGUCGUGGCUUCUCUCUCCAAGUGAAGAAGUGCCUUGGGUUUGCUCCAGCCCUUCAGGAUGAUGGAAUGAGCAUUUCUGCCCCUCCCUGCAGAUCCUGCAGCUCAGACAGCACAAACAGCUCCGGAUUCCUGGGUGGCUCGAGGUCAGAACACGGUGCUGAGUGUUGCAGAACUCUUUGGCCUGGUGUGACCUGGUGUCCUCAGCUCCAUCAGUGCACGGCCUCCGUCACCUCCAGCUGCAGGAACCACUCCUUGGUGCUUCCUUCUGCCAAACAUCCAGCACUUCCAGCUCUGAGUGCUGCUCCUGAUGCAGCCACGGCUCAGUUCUUGUCUCUGUGGAGCCAUCCAGAGACGACUGCCCAGGGUCUUUUUACCGAAAUCCAUCUUUCAUUCCCUCCUGCUUGAGGUGGCCCACAGUGACACAUGAAGUUUGCAGCUAAAUCUUCCAAAUUCAUGGCAAAAACCUGAGAGAGCUGUGGCCCUUUCCGGCAGGUUUGUGGGCACUCAGCCCUUUCAGGCUCUGCUUAGUAAUCAUAAGGCACAAAGAAUUUAAACCUGAGUGCUGUUUUUUUUCCUUUUCUGGGCAUAUCUGGGAUGGAGCUUGCCAGAGCAAGUGCUGAGGUUGCUCAUUUUUCUGGGGCAGAGUGCUGAGAUUGCACAGGGUCAGAAGAGAAACUGCAGGCUCUCAUCUCCAUCCCUCCAGCUCAAGGCCGGGGUGGAUGGGGUGGGAAGGCAGGGCACAGCACAGCCAUGCUCAGAUUCUGUUCUUUAUAGCAAAUACAUGAAUUCAAAUGAAGGACACACUCUCAAAAGCACUGAAAUGUCUCGAGGCAAAGCCUUGUGGUAGACAGUGGUAAUAAAGGAGAGCAGAAGUGGGGAGGAGAGAAUUUGGAGCUGCUGUUAGCAGCGAGUGCCCCUGGGCAGAUGCUGGGCAGAUAGGGGCUGCUGGGGUACAGACAUUCCAGAGUGAUUUCUGAGCCGGCUGAGCUCCUCCCAUCAUCACUUCACUCAUCAAAGUAAGUAUUUAUAGCACAGGUAGAGCAGGGGGAGAAAUCAAAGAGGAGCUCCCUAGAAAGAUGCAUAAAUCACUCCAAGAGUUCAGCUCGGGGGCUCUGCACUUUUUGCUUUAACGAGAGCGAAUAAAAACUCCGCUGUUAUUCUUAAUAUUUCUUAAUAUUACUUCAGAGCUCUGAUUUUUGCAUUAAAACAAUCUCGGCGGCAUUUCCAUAGAGUUCUCCCUAC
ensembl:lncRNA